CAAUGUUAUUCACUUUGGGCAUGUAGAUGUCAAUGCAUAUCGUCUGGCGUUGCGGAACUCCAUAAAUUGUUAUUAUUUUUUUCGCUUUGAAUGAUUGGAUAGCGUUUGUUUAUCGUCUGCUCUGCCAUACUGUAUCGUAGCAUUUGCGAAUUUGGCGGGAAAUAUUUCUAGGCCCAUUUGGAUCUUCCAUUAGACAGCUUCUUUUUUGUCUUCUGAAAGCGGUGUCGACAAGAAAUCUUGAAAAAAAUGAGUUGUUUCUUGAAUGGAAGAGUCGCUAUCGUCACAGGAGCCAGUUCUGGAAUAGGUGCGGGCAUCGCGCGCCAUCUUGCCAUCCUAGGCUGUUCGCUGGUACUCGUGGGUCGCAACGAAGAAAACCUCCGACUCGUGCAGGCGGAAUGUGUGGACAGGGGCCUGGAUGAAGACAAGAUUUUAGUGGUAAAAGCAGAUCUGGGGGAUGAAAAGGAUGUGAAGUAAUUGUUAAAAAAGAGCAUCGAGAAAUUCCAGAAAGUCAACAUUUUGGUAAACAGUGCUGGCGUCUUGGCAUAUGGCAGUCUAGAAGAGAUGACGGUGGACCAGUUGCAGUUGGAUUCGCUGGUGGCCGAGGUUUCCGGCUCCAAAUGAUCUGGCAAAUUAUCAAAAGAACUGUAACCGAUCAACCAUUCCAGAUGUCCGACAAAAAGAAAAAGAAACCUUACAUUCGAUAACUGGACCACCAUGGGCGUCGCCAGGAUUUUUCUAGAGGGGGG